AAUUCAUAUAGUUUAUAUAAAACAUUUUAUUUUCAUUAAAAAAAAGAAUAUUUAGUUUUAUGAAUUA
rnacentral:tRNA from 1 species